AACGAACGCUGGCGGCAGGCUUAACACAUGCAAGUCGAGCGAGACCUUCGGGUCUAGCGGCGGACGGGUGAGUAACGCGUGGGAACGUGCCCUUCUCUACGGAAUAGCCCCGGGAAACUGGGAGUAAUACCGUAUACGCCCUUUGGGGGAAAGAUUUAUCGGAGAAGGAUCGGCCCGCGUUGGAUUAGGUAGUUGGUGGGGUAAUGGCCCACCAAGCCGACGAUCCAUAGCUGGGUUGAGAGGAUGAUCAGCCACACUGGGACUGAGACACGGCCCAGACUCCUACGGGAGGCAGCAGUGGGGAAUCGUAGACAAUGGGGGCAACCCUGAUCUAGCCAUGCCGCGUGAGUGAUGAAGGCCUUAGGGUUGUAAAGCUCUUUCAGCUGGGAAGAUAAUGACGGUACCAGAAGAAGAAGCCCCGGCUAACUCCGUG
rnacentral:rRNA from 1 species